AGAGUUUGAUUAUGGCUCAGGACGAACGCUGGCGGCGUGCUUAACACAUGCAAGUCGAACGGGGAUAGCGUUGGAAGUCCUUCGGGGUGGAAGAUGCUAUUCGAGUGGCGGACGGGUGAGUAACGCGUGAACAAUCUGUCCCAGACAGGGGGAUAACACUUGGAAACAGGUGCUAAUACCGCAUAAGACCACAGUGUCGCAUGGCACAGAGGUAAAAGGAGCGAUCCGGUUUGGGGUGAGUUCGCGUCCGAUUAGCCAGUUGGCGGGGUAACGGCCCACCAAAGCGACGAUCGGUAGCCGAUCUGAGAGGAUGACCGGCCACAUUGGAACUGAGAGACGGUCCAAACUCCUACGGGAGGCAGCAGUGGGGAAUAUUGGGCAAUGGGCGAAAGCCCUGACCCAGCAACGCCGCGUGAGUGAAGAAGGCCUUCGGGUUGUAAAGCUCUGUUAUAGGGGACGAAGGAAGUGACGGUACCCUAUAAGGAAGCCCCGGCUAACUACGUGCCAGCCGCUGC
rnacentral:rRNA from 1 species